UACGUAGGGGGCGAGCGUUGUCCGGAUUUAUUGGGCGUAAAGAGCUCGUAGGCGGCUUGGCAAGUCGGGUGUGAAACCUCCAGGCUCAACCUGGAGACGCCACUCGAUACUGCCAUGGCUAGAGUCCGGUAGGGGACCACGGAAUUCCUGGUGUAGCGGUGGAAUGCGCAGAUAUCAGGAGGAACACCGAUAGCGAAGGCAGCUCGCUGGGACGGUACUGACGCUGAGGUGCGAAAGCGUGGGGAGCGAACAGG
rnacentral:rRNA from 1 species